rnacentral:rRNA from 1 species
GUGCAGCAGGCGCGAAACUUCACAAUGUGCGAAAGCACGAUGAGGGAAUCCCAAGUGCUUGCACGUAAGUGUAAGCUGUUUCUCUGUCUAAAACGCAGAGAGAGUAAGGGCUGGGUAAGACGGGUGCCAGCCGCCGCGGUAAUACCUGCAGCUCGAGUGGUGACCGUUAUUAUUGGGCCUAAAACGUCCGUAGCCGGUUUAAUAAAUGCCUGGGUAAAUCGGACCGCUUAACGGUUCGAAUUCCGGGUAGACUGUUAAACUUGAGACCGGGAGAAGUUAGAGGUACUCCUGGGGUAGAGGUGAAAUUCUGUAAUCCUAGGGGGACCACCAGUGGCGAAGGCGUCUAACUAGAACGGGUCUGACGGUGAGGGACGAAGCCCUGGGGCGC